GAUAAGUUAGUAUAAACUGUGGGAUUCAUACUUCCAUAACAUACCGUUUGGUAUUUGAUCGG
rnacentral:tRNA from 1 species